CCUAGCUCUAACCCUAGCUCUAACCCUAGCCCCAGCUUUAACCCUAACACUAGCUCUAAACCUAACCCUAGCUCUAAACCGAACCCUAAGCUUUAGGGAGGUGUAUGGUGAUAUGGGGCAGUACACGAGCAACUGUGUUGCAAAUUUUCUAUAAUAAAAUAUCUAGGCCACACUGAGAUUCGAACACGGGUCGCUGGGGUGAGAGCCCAGAGCACUAACCACUACACUAUGGAAGCCUCGCGCACAUUGCUUGGAAUUAAUAUGGUUUUAUGGAUACACGAGCAACUGUGUUGCAAAUUUUCUAUAAUAAAAUAUCUAGGCCACACUGAGAUUCGAACCCGGGUCGCUGGGGUGAGAGCCCAGAGCACUAACCACUACACUAUGGAAGCCUCGCGCACAUUGCUUGGAAUUAAUAUGGUUUUAUGGAUACACGAGCAACUGUGUUGCAAAUUUUCUAUAAUAAAAUAUCUAGGCCACACUGAGAUUCGAACCCGGGUCGCUGGGGUGAGAGCCCAGAGCACUAACCACUACACUAUGGAAGCCUCGCGCACAUUGCUUGGAAUUAAUA